UUCAGGAUGACAGAAUAUUAUGUGCUAGUUUUAAGACCUAGCUAUGGGUUACCUCCAGAAA
rnacentral:tRNA from 1 species